UGAAAAGACUAGUUUUUCAUGGGGAAA
rnacentral:piRNA from 1 species